UACGUAGGGGGCGAGCGUUGUCCGGAUUUAUUGGGCGUAAAGAGCGUGUAGGCGGCCAGGUAGGUCCGUUGUGAAAACUCGAGGCUCAACCUCGAGACGUCGGCGGAAACCCUCUGGCUAGAGUCCGGAAGAGGAGAGUGGAAUUCCUGGUGUAGCGGUGAAAUGCGUAGAUAUCGUGAGGAAGACCAGUGGCGAAGGCGGAUCUCUGGACAGUUCCUGACGCUGAGGCGCGAAGGCCAGGGGAGCAAACGGG
rnacentral:rRNA from 1 species